rnacentral:piRNA from 1 species
AUCGCCAAUACACAGAAAAUAGGGGAAAGG